rnacentral:rRNA from 1 species
GAUGAACGCUGGCGGCAGGCCUAACACAUGCAAGUCGAACGGAUAGCGGACGGGUGAGUGAUGUAGGGAAAACUGCCUGAUGGAGGGAGAUAAGGACUGGAAACGGUGGCUAAUAGUGCAAACCGUCAGAUCGGGCCAGAUGGGUUUAGCGUGCUGGUGGGGUAACGGCUCACCAAGGCGACGAUCACUAGCUGGUCCGAGAGGGUGAACAGCCACACUGGAACUGAGACACGGUCCAGACUCCUACGGGAGGCAGCAGUGGGGAAUAUUGCACAAUGGACGCAAGCCUGAUGCAGCCAUGCCGCGUGUAUGAAGAAGGCUUUCGGGUUGUAAAGCACGUUCAGCGGGGAGGCGUUACCCGAAGAGAAAGCACCGGCUAACUCCGUGCCAGCCGCCGCGGUAAUUC